UGGUGGGUAGUUUGACUGGGGCGGUCUCCUCCUAAAGAGUAACGGAGGAGCACGAAGGUUGGCUAAUCCUGGUCGGACAUCAGGAGGUUAGUGCAAUGGCAUAAGCCAGCUUGACUGCGAGCGUGACGGCGCGAGCAGGUGCGAAAGCAGGUCAUAGUGAUCCGGUGGUUCUGAAUGGAAGGGCCAUCGCUCAACGGAUAAAAGGUACUCCGGGGAUAACAGGCUGAUACCGCCCAAGAGUUCAUAUCGACGGCGGUGUUUGGCACCUCGAUGUCGGCUCAUCACAUCCUGGGGCUGAAGUAGGUCCCAAGGGUAUGGCUGUUCGCCAUUUAAAGUGGUACGCGAGCUGGGUUUAGAACGUCGUGAGACAGUUCGGUCCCUAUCUGCCGUGGGCGCUGGAGAACUGAGGGGGGCUGCUCCUAGUACGAGAGGACCGGAGUGGACGCAUCACUGGUGUUCGGGUUGUCAUGCCAAUGGCA
rnacentral:rRNA from 1 species